GACCUUGACCCGCGCGCCCGCGCGGGUGUUCUCUUCGUUUUGAUAUUUUAUAAUAUUAUGUAUUAUUUGUGUAAUUGAAAUAUUAUAUAUAUUAUAUUAUAUGAUGAUCAAAAAGUUUAAAUGAUGAAUUAGAUUAGUUAUUUUUAUCUAAAUUGUUGGACAGAUGUUUGUUAAUCAUAUAGUUUGUAAAUGGUUUUUUGUUAAUUAAUAAACCAAAUACAAUGAUAUGUUUUUUACUCAUCAGCUUGUUUGGAUUAUUUUGUUAACAUAUGUAGAAAUGAAUAAGUUCAUAAUAAAUUAUUAACCAUAUUUAGUUAUAGAUUUUUUUAUAGUUGGAAAAAUUUUAUGUAUAUUAAAAAAAUUUAAUUUAUAGUUUUUUUAAAAUAUGCUCUUUUUAAUAAUAUAUAUUAAAUAAUUUAUAUUGAAAGCAAUUUAUAAAUUUUAUAAAUGGGCUUUGUAAAUGCAGUUGAUAAAUCUGUAAACAAAAAAAUAUAAAUUUAGUAGCCCAAAUUCCCCUAAAUUCCCCUGAAAAUUAACAAAGGCCCCACAAUAAUUAUUAACAACUUUACGCAGGAAAAUAACUGUUACUCGUUGAAAAAAAAAACAUAGAAAUCGAAGACAAAGAAGAGUCUAGGGUUCUAUGAAUUGGGCGAUUGUCAGGGAGAAUCCGUGACUCGAUUUUCUAUUAGAAAGCAAGGAUUUAGAAGAUGUAAUGAACGGAUUGUUCGACACAAGAAAGGUUAAUUGUUUGCUUGAGUGUCUAUGAAAUCAAGACAUAGUUGAAGAAAAAGUAAAAAUGGAUACAUCAAUCAAUCUUCCAAAUUUGUGCUCUCUCGAAACAGUUCUACAUCUUGGUGUAUAAACAUCUGUGUCUUUGAUGGAUAAACAUCUGCUAAUUUCUCUGUAAUAAGAUUCCGAGUAAAAUUAUGUUGCUACUGAUGAGUCUGUCUCAGUUCCUGAUUCUUCUUUCUACGGCUAUCAUCCUCUAUAUUAUCUGAAAUCUUUCAAAAGAAUAAAGGAGACAAAACUCUCUCCUGCUGGAGUAGCAAGGACUACCGUGGAGGUCUCAUUGUAGGCUAACAACAGUUAUGUGUUGGUGUUUUCCUGGAGAAAUUCACUGUGAACCACAUGUUGAGCAUUCUUACCGGUGAGACCGCGGGAUCACUCUGCUUCAUUACUCUGAUCGCUUAGGCCAAUUUAGGAAAUGAGUUUAAUAAAGGAGCAUGUGUAAUACCAGAUGCGCUUAUAGAGAUGAGUCUAGAAGAUUUGGAAAGUUGCAAUGAAUCAGAUAUUUACAAUCCGGAGACUCUGCCCUUGAUGAAAAGAUGACAGUCUGGUUGCUCAGCAACUCUCGGAGAAUCAAUCAGGUCAUAGUCAUCAGUUUUUGGAAUCUCGAACUGGGCAAUGAAGCCGACAACAGAUCAGUUCAAACACCACAAGGUUAGUAAAUUGCUGAUCGAGCCGAUAUUCAUUGUAUGCUGUUUGGAUGAUUGUGUUAUGACCAACUAAAUCAUAAUUAAAAACGUAUAAAAUAACAAAAAAACAAUAGAAACUAUUUGUUUAUUUUUCUCAAAAAACUGAAAAUUUCACAUCAGAAAGUGUGCUUAUUUUUGAUUGUGACUCGGGAAACAGAAAAAACGCAUAGCUCUGAAACCUGCAUUUGAAAAAAAUUAAUCAAAAUGACUUGUCUAUGUAUUUUUAAAUCACAAAAUAAAUAGAUGACAAUUGAGGUUGAAAAUUUACCUAGUCGCUGAUACUAUUCCAGGUUAGCAAAAACUUCUUUGAAGAUAACAUUUUUUGUGUUGGUUUAGAUCGCCAAAUGAAUGUUGUGAUUGAUCGUAGAAUGAAGGAUAUAUAUAUAGAUAUAUAGGUGAUAGGUAAAUCUAAACUAAUAACUAUAAAACUUGAUGAGCAAGUCGUUGGAGAUAAGGAUAUAUUUAAUAUUCGAAUAUUUUUUAUAGAUUUGUGUGGUUACAAUUUUGUUCACGUUUUCAGGGAGGUUUAAAUAUUUGAUAUCGAAAAUUUAUUUGUAAUCAAUCCUAUCUAUAUUAUCGUGAUUAGCAAGUAGUCUGAUAUCUAUUAUAAAUCUGAGACCUUAAAUAUAUGAAAUUAUUAUGUUAAGUAUUUAAGAGAUUAAAGAUUUAAAGAGUAGUUAGUUGAUUUGUUAACAAAUUUGAAGUGAUUAGUAUCCGAUAUAUUGGUUAAUAUCCAUUUUUUUCUGAAUUGACCGGUGCAAGGAAGAUCUUCAUAAAUAUUGAUCUUAUGUUUGAAAGGUUAGAAUUAUUCUCGAGCAAUAUUGCAAUUAUUAAAUAAAUAAGAAAACCGAAUGGUUUUUUUACUCCAAACUGAAUUUGACAAACCAACUGGUUUUGCAUCGAAGUAUAUUAUGUAAGAAACCAAAUAUUGAUAUAUAUAUAUAUAUAGUUAUUUAGAUUUGUGGUAAAUCUCUAACCAUCGUUUUAAUAUAUUUUCGGUAGAAAACAGCUGUUAUAAUAGUUUAGAUUUGUCCUCAUGUGAAAUAUGAUUAUAAGUCCAAUUUUAUGGUUAGAGAUGGGUAGAAUUAGACGUGAACUGGUUAAAAAUGGUUAGAUAAAAUACAAUUAGGUUCAGUUAAAAGUAAGUUAAAUUAAAAAUGUUUAGCCCAUUAAAAAUUAGAACAAAAAAACGUGAUGGGCUUAAGAAUACUCAAAAGAUCAAUAAUUUAAAGCAGUGGCAGACAGUUGUAAAUAAUGAAAUGAAGUGGGGGUUAAUUCCCAUUUGUACUUCACUUUUAAUGGGA